rnacentral:rRNA from 1 species
CACCCCGGCCGUUCUGGGCAGGUUACCUACGUGUUACUCACCCGUCCGCCACUCGUUGGCGACCAAAAUCUAUCAGGUGCAAGCACCAUCAAUCAAUUGGGCCAACGCGUUCGACUUGCAUGUAUUAGGCACACCGCCGGCGUUCAUCCUGAGCCAUGAUCAAACUCA